rnacentral:misc_RNA from 1 species
AACGCAACUUGCACCCUUUGGUAUUCCGAAGGGUACGUCUGUUUGAGCGUCGUGAAAAUCUCAACUUGUUUGCUUUCUUCUGUAAUGAGAAAGUGGAUAAGCUUGGACUUUGGAGGCAUGCCAGACCCUGAGUUUAGCUCCUCUUGAAUGCAUUAGCGAAGACCCUUUGCCAUCGCCUUGACGUGAUAAUUAUCGUCUACGUCUAAUCGGCCUGGCUCUGAUCGGAAUUGCUGUCUAAUUGUCGCAUUAGGCUGACAACCGCUUGCAAGUCCUUUUUUGAAAGGAACCGUAAAAAAUCAAACUAGACCUCAAAUCAGAUGGGACUACCCGCUGAACUUAA